rnacentral:rRNA from 1 species
AGAAUGACUCUCGGCAACGGAUAUCUCGGCUCUCGCAUCGAUGAAGAACGUAGCGAAAUGCGAUACUUGGUGUGAAUUGCAGAAUCCCGUGAACCAUCGAGUUUUUGAACGCAAGUUGCGCCCCAAGCCUUUAGGCCGAGGGCACGCCUGCCUGGGUGUCACAC